GCAUAAUGAUUCCGCAUGGUUUCAUUAUUAAAGGAUUCCGGUAAAGGAUGGGGAUGCGUUCCAUUAGGUUGUUGGUGAGGUAACGGCUCACCAAGCCUUCGAUGGAUAGGGGUUCUGAGAGGAAGGUCCCCCACAUUGGAACUGAGACACGGUCCAAACUCCUACGGGAGGCAGCAGUGAGGAAUAUUGGUCAAUGGGCGCUAGCCUGAACCAGCCAAGUAGCGUGAAGGAUGAAGGCUCUAUGGGUCGUAAACUUCUUUUAUAUAAGAAUAAAGUGCAGUAUGUAUACUGUUUUGUAUGUAUUAUAUGAAUAAGGAUCGGCUAACUCCGUGCCAGCAGCCGCGGUAAUACGGAGGAUCCGAGCGUUAUCCGGAUUUAUUGGGUUUAAAGGGAGCGUAGGUGGACUGGUAAGUCAGUUGUGAAAGUUUGCGGCUCAACCGUAAAAUUGCAGUUGAUACUGUCAGUCUUGAGUACAGUAGAGGUGGGCGGAAUUCGUGGUGUAGCGGUGAAAUGCUUAGAUAUCACGAAGAACUCCGAUUGCGAAGGCAGCUCACUGGACUGCAACUGACACUGAUGCUCGAAAGUGUGGGUAUCAAACAGGAUUAGAUACCCUGGUAGUCCACACAGUAAACGAUGAAUACUCGCUGUUUGCGAUAUACAGUAAGCGGCCAAGCGAAAGCAUUAAGUAUUCCACCUGGGGAGUACGCCGGCAACGGUGAAACUCAAAGGAAUUGACGGGGGCCCGCACAAGCGGAGGAACAUGUGGUUUAAUUCGAUGAUACGCGAGGAACCUUACCCGGGCUUAAAUUGCAGUGGAAUGAUGUGGAAACAUGUCAGUGAGCAAUCACCGCUGUGAAGGUGCUGCAUGGUUGUCGUCAGCUCGUGCCGUGAGGUGUCGGCUUAAGUGCCAUAACGAGCGCAACCCUUAUCUUCAGUUACUAACAGGUCAUGCUGAGGACUCUGGAGAGACUGCCGUCGUAAGAUGUGAGGAAGGUGGGGAUGACGUCAAAUCAGCACGGCCCUUACGUCCGGGGCUACACACGUGUUACAAUGGGGGGUACAGAAGGCAGCUAGCGGGUGACCGUAUGCUAAUCCCAAAAUCCUCUCUCAGUUCGGAUCGAAGUCUGCAACCCGACUUCGUGAAGCUGGAUUCGCUAGUAAUCGCGCAUCAGCCACGGCGCGGUGAAUACGUUCCCGGGCCUUGUACACACCGCCCGUCAAGCCAUGGGAGCCGGGGGUACCUGAAGUACGUAACCGCAAGGAUCGUCCUAGGGUAAAACUGGUGACUGGGGCUAAGUCGUAACAAGGUAGCCGUACCGGAAGGUGCGGCUGGAACACCUCCUUU
rnacentral:rRNA from 1 species